CGGCCUAUUCCCUUAAAUAUUCAAAAUUUAAAAUCUUGCAGCAGGAAUAGACUGCGGUUCCACUUAAAACCGCAGUUUAUUCCCCCUGCAAAAUUCUGACAUUCCGCAAAAGCAGUGUUGAAAAAAAAUUUCAUGGGAAUAUAUCGCGGUUGUGAGGAGAACCGCGGUAUAUCCCCCUGCAAUUUUUUUUCUGCAAAAUUCUGACUUCCCGC
rnacentral:lncRNA from 1 species